UUACGAUCCAGCACAUACACUGUGACUUCUAUUAUAAUCAGAGGACCUGCUGGGCCCUGGAGAUGAAAAGGCUAUGUUUUCUGGCAAUGAACAUAGAAAGAAGUUUUGCUUGACAGAGAAGGUUUGGGAGCUGGUUUCUUCUUUAUCUACCUGGUACUUAUCAUGAAAGUAAAUAAUGGUUAUAGAAGGCACUCAUUCAUCACUCAGUCAUCUCUGUCAUAACUCAAUUGCUGCAACAGUGGUACCACUUCUACACAUGCUAUGAAAGAACCAGCAUAAUCACUCUUUAAAGUCAUUACAGAUUAAACAAAUAACAGUGAAGCACA
rnacentral:lncRNA from 1 species